rnacentral:lncRNA from 1 species
UAAAGACUUUCUUUUAUUCCUUUAGAAAAUAAGCACAAUUUGAUACAUAAAAAUAUGAAUUGGCACAAAAUUGAAGUUCUAAAGAGCAAGCUGUUGCCCAAGGUGACAAGCCAAGAGGGGAGGGGGUGAAUUGGUUUCUCUUAGUUUUAACUAUCUUACUUAUGUCAAUUGAUGAGUUAGUAGAAUUAAACAAAGCACAAUACAAACAACAAGAAAUAUAGUGGUUCGGUGCUCUCCUAAGCACCUACGUCCACUUCCUAAGCGACCCCUUGGGAAUUCACUAUAAUCCCGCGGAUUACAGUUGGAUUGUUUUCCGGGCUCACAAUCCAAAAAUCUUUACACUUUGGUUUUCCAGGUUCACCAAAAACCUAUGUUGGUUUUACGGGCUCACCAACGAACCUAUGUUGGUUUUCCGGACUUACCAACGAACCUUUACAAUUGGUUUUACGGGUUCACCAAUCAACCUACACCGUUGGUUUUGCGGACUUACCAACUAACCUUUACAAGAAGUUUAAUAAACGAAGUAAGAAGAUUUAAGCUCUU